AAACUGAAGAGUUUGAUCAUGGCUCAGAUUGAACGCUGGUGGCAGGCUUAACACAUGCAAGUCGAACGGUAACGGGUUGAAAGCUUGCUUUCGACGCUGACGAGUGGCGGACGGGUGAGUAAUGCUUGGGAAUCUGGCUUAUGGAGGGGGAUAACCAUUGGAAACGAUGGCUAAUACCGCAUAGAAUCGGAAGAUUAAAGGGUGGGACUUUUUGCCACCUGCCAUAAGAUGAGCCCAAGUGGGAUUAGGUAGUUGGUGGGGUAAAGGCCUACCAAGCCUGCGAUCUCUAGCUGGUCUGAGAGGAUGGCUAGCCACACUGGGACUGAGACACGGCCCAGACUCCUACGGGAGGCAGCAGUGGGGAAUAUUGCGCAAUGGGGGGAACCCUGACGCAGCCAUGCCGCGUGAAUGAAGAAGGCCUUCGGGUUGUAAAGUUCUUUCAGUGGUGAGGAAGGUUGGUGUGUUAAUAGCACACUGAUUUGACGUUAGCCACAGAAGAAGCACCGGCUAACUCCGUGCCAGCAGCCGCGGUAAUACGGAGGGUGCGAGCGUUAAUCGGAAUAACUGGGCGUAAAGGGCACGCAGGCGGUAAAUUAAGU
rnacentral:ncRNA from 1 species